rnacentral:rRNA from 1 species
UAUGGUGGUUAUGCCGAGGGUGAUCACCUCUUCCCAUACCGAACAGAGAAGUUAAGCCCCUCAUGGCCGAUGGUACUGCACCAAAAUGCGGGAGAGUAGGUAGCUGCCGUAAUUAUUAAAAAAAGCC